UUAAACUGAAGAGUUUGAUCAUGGCUCAGAUUGAACGCUGGCGGCAGGCUUAACACAUGCAAGUCGAGCGGUAACAGGGGGAGCUUGCUCCCUGCUGACGAGCGGCGGACGGGUGAGUAAUGCAUAGGAAUCUGCCC
rnacentral:rRNA from 1 species